GUGAAACCGUUCAGGGGUAAACCUGAGAAACCCAAAAGAUCGAAUGGGGAGAUUCAUCGUCAACGGUGCUGGCUCCCGUUUGUGCGCGAUGCUCCGAAUGGGCUCUCGUGGUUCCAUGGCGAGGGCACGCCACUUUCGGCCUGAACGUUCCGGCACCGUAGUCGUGCACUUCUCCCCUAGUAGAACGUCGCGACCCGUUGCGUGUCGGUCUACGGCCCGAGCGGGCGCCUGUCGCGGCGCGUUUCGCGCACGCGGCAGACCCUCGGUUGCCCGGCCGGCUGCGCGACGGUACUCACACGGUAUCGGGCCGCAACCAAUCCAUUCUCGAAUGUGUGUGCGUCAGGCCCGCCGCAAGCUCGGGCAGUUUUACCCGGAGGUACGGACCUGGUGCCGUCCCCGGGCCUGACCAGCUGUUAGCAGGCGGUGUCCUCGGACUGGCCAAGCUUCGAAUUACCGGUCGGYGACGCUCCUGCUUUGGGUACUCUCAGGACCCGUCUUGAAACACGGACCAAGGAGUCUAACAUGUGCGCGAGUCAUUGGGAUGCAUAAACCUAAAGGCGCAAUGAAAGUGAAGGUCGGCCUACGCGUCGACCUAGGGAGGAUGGGCCGCGUUACGAUGCGGCCCCGCACUCCCGGGGCGUUUCGUUCUCAUUGCGAGAAGAGGCGCACCUAGAGCGUACACGUUGGGACCCGAAAGAUGGUGAACUAUGCCUGGUCAGGACGAAGUCAGGGGAAACCCUGAUGGAGGUCCGUAGCGAUUCUGACGUGCAAAUCGAUCGUCGGAACUGGGUAUAGGGGCGAAAGACUAAUCGAACCAUCUAGUAGCUGGUUCCCUCCGAAGUUUCCCUCAGGAUAGCUGGCACUCGCUCGUUCCUCCGUGAACGCGUGCGAGUCUCAUCUGGUAAAGCGAAUGAUUAGAGGCCUUGGGGCCGAAACGACCUCAACCUAUUCUCAAACUUUAAAUGGGUGAGAUCUCUGGCUUGCUUGGAUUAUGAAGCCACGAGAUUUUGGAUCAGAGUGCCAAGUGGGCCAAUUUUGGUAAGCAGAACUGGCGCUGUGGGAUGAACCAAACGCAGAGUUAAGGCGCCUAAGUCGACGCUUAUGGGAUACCAUGAAAGGCGUUGGUUGCUUAAGACAGCAGGACGGUGGCCAUGGAAGUCGGAAUCCGCUAA
rnacentral:rRNA from 1 species